rnacentral:rRNA from 1 species
GGUUAAGUGACUAAGCGUACACGGUGGAUGCCUGGGCAGUCAGAGGCGAUGAAGGACGUACUAACUUGCGAUAAGCGCAGAUAAGGCAGUAAGAGCCGUUUGAGUCUGCGAUUUCCGAAUGGGGAAACCCAACUGCAUAAGCAGUUACUGUUAACUGAAUACAUAGGUUAACAGAGCAAACCGGGGGAACUGAAACAUCUAAGUACCCCGAGGAGAAGAAAUCAACCGAGAUUCCGGUAGUAGCGGCGAGCGAACCUGGAUUAGCCCUUAAGCACUCGGUGAAGUAGGUGAACAAGCUGGAAAGCUUGGCGAUACAGGGUGAUAGCCCCGUAACCGACGCUUCAUCGAGCGUGAAAUCGAGUAGGGCGGGACACG